UACGUAGGCAGCAAGCGUUGUUCGGAAUUACUGGGCGUAAAGGGCGCGUAGGCGGCCUGCUAAGUCGAACGUGAAAUCCCUGGGCUCAACCCAGGAACUGCGUCCGAUACUGGUUGGCUUGAAUCCGGGAGAGGGAUGUGGAAUUCCAGGUGUAGCGGUGAAAUGCGUAGAUAUCUGGAGGAACACCGGUGGCGAAGGCGGCAUCCUGGACCGGCAUUGACGCUGAGGCGCGAAAGCCAGGGGAGCAAACGGG
rnacentral:rRNA from 1 species